GGGAAACUGCCCGAUGGAGGGGGAUAACUACUGGAAACGGUAGCUAAUACCGCAUAACGUCGCAAGACCAAAGUGGGGGACCUUCGGGCCUCACACCAUCGGAUGUGCCCAGAUGGGAUUAGCUAGUAGGUGGGGUAAUGGCUCACCUAGGCGACGAUCCCUAGCUGGUCUGAGAGGAUGACCAGCCACACUGGAACUGAGACACGGUCCAGACUCCUACGGGAGGCAGCAGUGGGGAAUAUUGCACAAUGGGCGCAAGCCUGAUGCAGCCAUGCCGCGUGUAUGAAGAAGGCCUUCGGGUUGUAAAGUACUUUCAGCGGGGAGGAAGGCGGUGGAGUUAAUAGCUUCACCGAUUGACGUUACCCGCAGAAUAAGCACCGGCUAACUACGUGCCAGCAGCCGCGGUAAUACGUAGGGUGCAAGCGUUAAUCGGAAUUACUGGGCGUAAAGCGUGCGCAGGCGGUUCGGAAAGAAAGAUGUGAAAUCCCAGGGCUCAACCUUGGAACUGCAUUUUUAACUACCGGACUAGAGUAUGUCAGAGGGGGGUGGAAUUCCACGU
rnacentral:rRNA from 1 species